UGGGGAAUCUUGCGCAAUGGGCGAAAGCCUGACGCAGCGACGCCGCGUGCGGGAAGAAGGCCUUCGGGUUGUAAACCGCUUUCAGGGGGGACGAAGCCACUCGGGUUAAUAGCCCAGAGGGUGACGGUACCUUCAGAAGAAGCCCCGGCUAACUACGUGCCAGCAGCCGCGGUAAUACGUAGGGGGCAAGCGUUGUCCGGAUUUAUUGGGCGUAAAGAGCGUGUAGGCGGCCAUACAGGUCCGUUGUGAAAACUGGAGGCUCAACCUCCAGCUGUCGAUGGAAACCGUUUGGCUAGAGUCCGGAAGAGGAGAGUGGAAUUCCCGGUGUAGCGGUGAAAUGCGCAGAUAUCGGGAAGAACACCCGUGGCGAAGGCGGCUCUCUGGGACGGUACUGACGCUGAGACGCGAAAGCGUGGGGAGCGAACAGGAUUAGAUACCCGCGUAGUCC
rnacentral:rRNA from 1 species